rnacentral:RNase_P_RNA from 2 species
AGAGGUGGCAAGCUUAUGUAUACGGGCAAACAUACAAAAAGACUCUUUUGUUCUUUAAUCUUACCCGUGGGAAGGUCUGAGGAAAACCGCUAAAUGUCUUUGCUGGAUAACCUGUGAAAAUGGGGGCAGUGCUACCAGAAAAUAUAUCAUCUUGGACCGUUAGUACCGUUGAAGGAGCUUGCAAGAGUUUCUGAUGGGUUGGUUCGAGUUUGUUUACUGUAAUGGCCUGUGGGUGGUAACGCUAUGAAGUGCAAUACAUGAGACCGGUUGUACUGGUAACUCAAUUCAGACUACUCUGUCUCCUCU